GUCCAGAGACGUACAGUGGUUCUCCGUUGAGGAACGCUCCUCCUCCUCUCUGAGCGUAGAACAGUUUGUCCUCCACACAGCUGUACACGAUCCCAAACUGGAUCUGACCGGCGACAGGUGAACUGACUGACUGACAGGUGAACUGACUGACUGACAGGUGUACUGACUGACUGACAGGUGUACUGACUGACUGACAGGUGUACUGACUGACUGACAGGUGUACUGACUGACUGACAGGUGUACUGACUGACUGACAGGUGAACUGACUGACAGGUGAACUGACUGACUGACAGGUGAACUGACUGACUGACAGGUGUACUGACUGACUGACAGGUGUACUGACUGACUGACAGGUGUACUGACUGACUGACAGGUGUACUGACUGACUGACAGGUGUACUGACUGACUGACAGGUGAACUGACUGACUGACAGGUGAACUGACUGACUGACAGGUGAACUGACUGACUGACAGGUGAACUGACUGACUGACAGGUGU